rnacentral:ncRNA from 1 species
GUCGUUCCACUCCACUUCUUGGGCGCCGGGUCGAUAAAAAAGGAGGAAGUGAAUCACCCCGGGCUCGGGGUGCGGCAGUGUGGAGACCUGCCGUAAUGCGGCGCACCCGACGCGGUGACCGCGAGGACGUCCCAGGCGGAGGCCGGGCGUCCGGAGCCCAUACUAUGGCA